rnacentral:rRNA from 1 species
UACGUAGGAUGCGAGCGUUAUCCGGAUUUAUUGGGUUUAAAGGGAGCGUAGGUGGAUUGUUAAGUCAGUUGUGAAAGUUUGCGGCUCAACCGUAAAAUUGCAGUUGAAACUGGCAGUCUUGAGUACAGUAGAGGUGGGCGGAAUUCGUGGUGUAGCGGUGAAAUGCUUAGAUAUCACGAAGAACUCCGAUUGCGAAGGCAGCUCACUAGACUGCAACUGACACUGAUGCUCGAAAGUGUGGGUAUCAAACAGG